CGAACGGGUGAGUAACACGUGAGCAACCUGCCCUUCAGAGGGGGACAACAGUUGGAAACGACUGCUAAUACCGCAUAAGACCACGGUGUGGCAUCACACAGAGGUCAAAGGAGAAAUCCGCUGAAGGAUGGGCUCGCGUCCAAUUAGCUAGAUGGUGAGGUAACGGCCCACCAUGGCGACGAUUGGUAGCCGGACUGAGAGGUUGAUCGGCCACAUUGGGACUGAGACACGGCCCAGACUCCUACGGGAGGCAGCAGUGGGGAAUAUUGCACAAUGGAGGAAACUCUGAUGCAGCGACGCCGCGUGAGGGAAGAAGGUCUUCGGAUUGUAAACCUCUGUUGUCAGGGACGAUAAUGACGGUACCUGACGAGGAAGCCACGGCUAACUACGUGCCAGCAGCCGCGGUAAAACGUAGGUGGCAAGCGUUGUCCGGAAUUACUGGGUGUAAAGGGAGCGCAGGCGGGAGAGCAAGUU
rnacentral:rRNA from 1 species